AUGAACGCUGGCGGCGUGCCUAAUACAUGCAAGUCGAGCGAACGGACGAGAAGCUUGCUUUUCUGAUGUUAGCGGCGGACGGGUGAGUAACACGUGGAUAACCUACCUAUAAGACUGGGAUAACUUCGGGAAACCGGAGCUAAUACCGGAUAAUAUUUUGAACCGCAUGGUUCAAAAGUGAAAGACGGUCUUGCUGUCACUUAUAGAUGGAUCCGCGCUGCAUUAGCUAGUUGGUAAGGUAACGGCUUACCAAGGCAACGAUGCAUAGCCGACCUGGGAGGGUGAUCGGCCACACUGGAACUGAGACACGGUCCAGACUCCUACGGGAGGCAGCAGUAGGGAAUCUUCCGCAAUGGGCGAAAGCCUGACGGAGCAACGCCGCGUGAGUGAUGAAGGUCUUCGGAUCGUAAAACUCUGUUAUUAGGGAAGAACAUAUGUGUAAGUAACUGUGCACAUCUUGACGGUACCUAAUCAGAAAGCCACGGCUAACUACGUG
rnacentral:rRNA from 1 species